UCAGUUCUAGACGCCGAGGAUCCGCACGCUUGCAAUGCCGCGUGGAAGCCAAAGCCGCACCUCCCGCAUGGCCCCUCCGGCCAGCCGGGCACCUCAGAUGAGAGCUGCACCCAGGCCAGCACCAGCAGCUCAGCCACCAGCAGCAGCCCCACCAUCUGCAGUUGGCUCACCUGCUGCUGCACCCCGGCAACCCGGUCUGAUGGCCCAAAUGGCAACUACUGCAGCUGGUGUGGCUGUGGGCUCUGCAAUUGGGCACACUCUGGGUCAUGCCAUCACAGGGGGCUUCAGUGGAGGACGUAAUGCUGAGCCCUCAAACCCCGACAUCACUUACUAGGAGCCACUCGGAAGCCAGCCGGCACAGCAGCAGCAGGUUGGCCCUUGCUUCUAUGAGAUGAAACAGUUUUUGGAAUGUGCCCAGAACCAGACUGAUAUCAAGCUCUGUGAGGGAUUCAAUGAGGCGCUGAAACAAUGCAAACUUGCAAAUGGAUUAUCCUAAUGAAGAAGUACAAAUUGAAGAAAAGGAAAAUUGCCUGUCAAGACCAAGUUAAUUUAGCAUGAAAAUGUAAUUGAUAAUGAAAAGGGUAAAAUCAUCAGUUAAACCUCUCUUGUUGUUAAUAGCUUCCUUUCUUCAGAAUUGUAGUGGAAGAGGGUGUUCUUAGUGUGUAGAAGUGAUAGGGGGCACAUGUGGGUGUGGCCUCCUUAAACCAGCUAUUGUGAUAUUAUUUGUGAAGUAAUUAGAAUAAAGUGAUUUUCUUCCAAAAAAA